GCUUCUUUGCUGACGAGUGGCGGACGGGUGAGUAAUGUCUGGGAAACUGCCUGAUGGAGGGGGAUAACUACUGGAAACGGUAGCUAAUACCGCAUAACGUCGCAAGACCAAAGAGGGGGACCUUCGGGCCUCUUGCCAUCGGAUGUGCCCAGAUGGGAUUAGCUUGUUGGUGGGGUAACGGCUCACCUAGGCGACGAUCCCUAGCUGGUCUGAGAGGAUGACCAGCCACACUGGAACUGAGACACGGUCCAGACUCCUACGGGAGGCAGCAGUGGGGAAUAUUGCACAAUGGGCGCAAGCCUGAUGCAGCCAUGCCGCGUGUAUGAAGAAGGCCUUCGGGUUGUAAAGUACUUUCAGCGGGGAGGAAGGGAGUAAAGUUAAUACCUUUGCUCAUUGACGUUACCCGCAGAAGAAGCACCGGCUAACUCCGUGCCAGCAGCCGCGGUAAUACGGAGGGUGCAAGCGUUAAUCGGAAUUACUGGGCGUAAAGCGCACGCAGGCGGUUUGUUAAGUCAGAUGUGAAAUCCCCGGGCUCAACCUGGGAAC
rnacentral:rRNA from 1 species